rnacentral:lncRNA from 11 species
AGAGUGACGUUUGUACUGCUCCUCUAGUUUUUCUCAGGAAAAUAUAUCUCAUGUUGACAAUUCAUCUGAGCGUCACUGUUGGUAUAAUCUGCAUGUUCAUCUACUGGAAAUACCUUACAAUAUGGGUACGUAGGCGGCCAUGGUUUUCUUAUACCCUCGUACCAGCACUCCUGAUACUGGCUAUUGCAUUAGCCUGUUGUGACCAUGCCCGCAGAAAAUUCCCACUGAAUAUCAUUUUGUUAUUAAUAUUUGUAAGUAUUAAUUCAAAAUAAUUUUCAUUUUACGACAGCUGAUUUUAUUGAUUACUGUUA